UGGGGAAUAUUGCACAAUGGGGGAAACCCUGAUGCAGCAACGCCGCGUGAGUGAAGAAGUAUUUCGGUAUGUAAAGCUCUAUCAGCAGGGAAGAUAAUGACGGUACCUGACUAAGAAGCUCCGGCUAAAUACGUGCCAGCAGCCGCGGUAAUACGUAUGGAGCAAGCGUUAUCCGGAUUUACUGGGUGUAAAGGGUGCGUAGGCGGCAGAGCAAGUCAGAUGUGAAAGACCGGGGCUCAACCCCGGGGCUGCAUUUGAAACUGUUUUGCUGGAGUCCGGGAGAGGCAGGCGGAAUUCCUAGUGUAGCGGUGAAAUGCGUAGAUAUUAGGAGGAACACCAGUGGCGAAGGCGGCCUGCUGGACCGGAACUGACGCUGAGGCACGAAAGCGUGGGGAGCAAACA
rnacentral:rRNA from 1 species